rnacentral:tRNA from 1 species
UUAAAGAUAGACUAAAUAUUAAGUUAUUAGACUCAUAAUCUAAAGAUAUAAAAAUUAUUCUUUAUA